AGAGUUUGAUCAUGGCUCAGGACGAACGCUGGCGGCGUGCUUAACACAUGCAAGUGGAGCGACGAACCAGGGCUUGCCCUGGGGCAGAGCCGCGAACGGGUGAGUAACACGUGGGUAACCUGCCCCGAUGACCGGGACAACCCGAGGAAACUCGGGCUAAUACCGGAUGUAGAACUCUCACAUCAGUGAGUUUUUUAAAGGUAGCUUCGGCUUCCGCAUUGGGAUGGGCCCGCGGCCCAUUAGCUUGUUGGUGAGGUAAUGGCUUACCAAGGCUUCGAUGGGUAGCUGGUCUGAGAGGACGAUCAGCCACACUGGGACUGAGACACGGCCCAGACUCCUACGGGAGGCAGCAGUGGGGAAUCUUGCGCAAUGCGCGAAAGCGUGACGCAGCAACGCCGCGUGGGGGAAGACGGCCUUCGGGUUGUAAACCCCUUUCAGGAGGGACGAAGGUCACACGGUUAAUAGCCGGCGUGACUGACGGUACCUCCAGAAGAAGCCCCGGCUAACUACGUGCCAGCAGCCGCGGUAAUAC
rnacentral:rRNA from 1 species